UACGUAGGGUGCAAGCGUUGUCCGGAAUUAUUGGGCGUAAAGAGCUCGUAGGCGGUCUGUUGCGUCGGCUGUGAAAACCCGGGGCUCAACCCCGGGCCUGCAGCCGAUACGGGCAGACUAGAGUUCGGCAGGGGAGACUGGAAUUCCUGGUGUAGCGGUGAAAUGCGCAGAUAUCAGGAGGAACACCGGUGGCGAAGGCGGGUCUCUGGGCCGCAACUGACACUCAGGGACGAAAGCUAGGGGAGCGAAUGGG
rnacentral:rRNA from 1 species